AGUACAGUGGCGACCGGGUGAGUAACACGUGACCAACCUGCCCUCGAGUGGGGAACAACAGCGGGAAACCGCUGCUAAUACCGCAUAACAUCCUCGGAUCGGAAGAACUGGGGAUCAAAGGAGCAAUCCGCUUGAGGAGGGGGUCGCGGCUGAUUAGCUAGUUGGCGGGGUAAUGGCCCACCAAGGUGAAGAUCGGUAGCCGGCCUGAGAGGGCGCACGGCCACACUGGAACUGAAACACGGUCCAGACUCCUACGGGAGGCAGCAGUGGGGAAUGUUGCGCAAUGGGGGAAACCCUGACGCAGCAACGCCGCGUGGAGGAUGAAGUCCCUUGGGACGUAAACUCCUUUCGACCAAGACGAUAAUGACGGUACUGGUGGAAGAAGCACCGGCUAACUCUGUG
rnacentral:rRNA from 1 species